UACGGAGGGGGCGAGCGUUGUCCGAAGUUACUGGGCGUAAAGGGCGCGUAGGCGGGAAGCUAAGUCCGCUGUCAAAGCCCGGGGCUUAACCCCGGAAGGUCGGUGGAGACUGGUUUUCUUGAAGCUGCCAGGGGGAGAUGGAAUUACCGGUGUAGCGGUGAAAUGCGUAGAUAUCGGUAGGAACACCAGUGGCGAAGGCGGUCUCCUGGAGCAGACUUGACGCUGAGGCGCGAAAGCCAGGGGAGCGAACGGG
rnacentral:rRNA from 1 species